rnacentral:rRNA from 2 species
UGGGGGGGCGUGCUUACCAUGCAAGUCGAACGGUGAAGAGGGAGCUUGCUUCCUUGGAUCAGUGGCGAACGGGUGAGUAACACGUGAGUAACCUGCCCCGAACUCUGGGAUAACGCUGGGAAACUGGUGCUAAUACUGGAUAUGAGGCGCGCCUGCAUGGGUGUGUCUGGAAAGAUUUUUUGGUUCGGGAUGGGCUCGCGGCCUAUCAGCUUGUUGGUGGGGUGAUGGCCUACCAAGGCGACGACGGGUAGCCGGCCUGAGAGGGUGACCGGCCACACUGGGACUGAGACACGGCCCAGACUCCUACGGGAGGCAGCAGUGGGGAAUAUUGCACAAUGGGCGAAAGCCUGAUGCAGCGACGCCGCGUGAGGGAUGACGGCCUUCGGGUUGUAAACCUCUUUCAGUAGGGAAGAAGCUUUCGGGUGACGGUACCUGCAGAAGAAGCGCCGGCUAACUACGUGCCAGCAGCCGCGGUAAUACGUAGGGCGCAAGCGUUGUCCGGAAUUAUUGGGCGUAAAGAGCUCGUAGGCGGUUUGUCGCGUCUGCUGUGAAAACGCGAGGCUCAACCUCGCGCCUGCAGUGGGUACGGGCAGACUAGAGUGUGGUAGGGGAGACUGGAAUUCCUGGUGUAGCGGUGGAAUGCGCAGAUAUCAGGAGGAACACCGAUGGCGAAGGCAGGUCUCUGGGCCACUACUGACGCUGAGGAGCGAAAGCAUGGGUAGCGAACAGGAUUAGAUACCCUGGUAGUCCAUGCCGUAAACGUUGGGAACUAGGUGUGGGGUCAGUUCCACUGAUUCUGUGCCGCAGCUAACGCAUUAAGUUCCCCGCCUGGGGAGUACGGCCGCAAGGCUAAAACUCAAAGGAAUUGACGGGGGCCCGCACAAGCGGCGGAGCAUGCGGAUUAAUUCGAUGCAACGCGAAGAACCUUACCAAGGCUUGACAUACACGGGAACGCGUUAGAGAUAGCGUGCUCUUUGGACACUCGUGUACAGGUGGUGCAUGGUUGUCGUCAGCUCGUGUCGUGAGAUGUUGGGUUAAGUCCCGCAACGAGCGCAACCCUCGUCCUAUGUUGCCAGCACGUGAUGGUGGGGACUCAUAGGAGACUGCCGGGGUCAACUCCGAAGGAAGGUGGGGGAUGACGUCAAAUCAUCAUGGCCCCUA